rnacentral:rRNA from 1 species
UGCCGGACCCGACUGCUAUCGGAUUGGGAUUUAGCCAUGUUAGUUGUGCGUUCCUUGGCUACAGGGGACGCAGCGUACGGCUCAGUAACACGUAGUCAACCUGCCCUGGAGACGCGGACAAACCCGGGAAACUGGGGCCUAUCCGCGAUAGAUGACCUCAUCUGGAAGGAGUGGUCGUCAAAAAGGGCGCACGGGUAUGCUCUGUGCGCACCGCUUCAGGAUGGGACUGCGGCCGAUCAGGCUGUUGGUGAGGUAAAGGCUCACCAAACCAGUAACCGGUACGGGCUUUGAGAGAAGGAGCCCGGAGAUGGACACUGAGACAAGGGUCCAGGUCCUACGGGGCGCAGCAGGCGCGAAACCUUCGCAAUGUGCGAAAGCACGACGAGGUUAUUCCGACGUGAUUUCCGCUGAGGAAAUCUUUUCUCAGAUCUAAAAUGUCUAGGGGAAUAAGGGGAGGUCAAGUCUGGUGUCAC